UGACACUAGCUAAGUAAAUUUAACACACCACCUGUGACGCUAAACACGACUUUAAAAAAGGUGCUGUCGUAUUCUAUUUAAGUGUCUGUUAUGGCACUCAAUUUUGGCGAUGAAGCCGACAUACUUGUCAAAGAGAGGGAAUCACCUAUUUCAGUUGCUCACUAGCUCUUAGUGGUGAGUGGCUUCGACCUCUGUGCGGUUCUUUUCAGUCGCAGUUGAUUUAAAACUGGUAUAUUUACCUUGCGCUCUUGGUGUAAACAAUGAAUUGUUUUGUCUCUUACUAGUGAUAUUGUGACGAUGGCUACCCCGUUGGCUAUCUACAUUCUCUUGAAUGGUAAGAAAUUUGUCGUGCAAGAAUUCCUCCAAAUCUACUUUAUUUCAUAGUAUUUUGAACGUGAAACACAACAUCGUACUCACGGGACGUGUGAUUAUGUUAUGGUUAACAACUAUUCAUCAAAGUGGAAGUGAGCGGUUAGUGAGGGGGUCUCAAUGGGGUUGGCCGUUAAUUUAGUCGUUAGUCUUGAAAAAAGUUAACCGUAAAAAAAAUUUCUGGUAAGGACAAUGGAAAGAUGGUAACCGUUAGCCGUAAAUUGGCCAAAAUUUUAACCGUUGGCCGUAAAAGCCGUCACACCGUUGAGACUCACCAGAGGUGGGUAUUUUUCCGAGCCGCCAAUAGCCUUUUAGGACAUUUUAGCCGCGCCGCCAUUCAUCCAUGGCCACCAUUAGCCACCGACAUGAAGGUAAAUAUUUGUAUCGGUAUAUAUCAAAACAGUGAGGUAAUAUAGCACAAACAGAUGAAUUGAACUCAUCUGUUCCUGCAACGAUUACAAUAUUUUCGGGCGGAAAUCCCGAGCGAGUUCCUGGAUGUUAAUAGCAAAGAUAUCCAGAGUCUGAGUAGCCAGUCAGAGCGCGCCCUCCACGCAAUUCACUCUUUAAGUAUAUCCUAAUGGAGUUUAACACUUGCUUAUAUUUGGUUAUCUCAUCACGAACAAUUUAGGAUUUUAACGAAAUGCAGCGGAAUGUUUGAGUUCCUUAUUUGUAAGAUAUGUUGUUGGAAAGAGACCAACCUUGAACACUCCAGAAAAACGUUUCACUUUUUCACCAUUAUAUACUUUUGUUUCCCACAUUUCGCACCUUCGUUUUCUCUUGAUAUAUCAACGGUUAUCUUUCCUCAUUUGCAUUUGAUAAUUGUGAGAUGUUGUCGUUAUGAUUUUAUAACGUUACUUUUUAUCCGUAGAGGUUUUUUAAAAACUCUCGUCAUCUGAGAUUUAUGUUGAAUUUUUUCCUUUUUUAAGUUUAUUUUUGUUUCUUUACCAAGCUCUUUUUAUUCAUUUUUCUCUGGCCGGUGUAAUUUUUAAACGCGAGAGUUGGCAAAAGGAGCACAAGCCACAGGUGUGGUCAGGACCAAAUCUAUGCUACGAUAAAGAUGGAAAUAACAAAUUUCCUCUUCCAAAGGACCCGCCCUGGUUUACAGACGACAUGUGUCAUCUGAGCGCAUGCCUAGGGCUCUUGGUUUUAACAAAGUCCAUGUGUUUCACGAAAGGAACUUCAUGUGGAGAAGGUGAGUAUUUAGCGGCAGUUCCUGAACCCCCUUCUCCAACAGCCUGUUGUGUAUGUAAACCAU